UACGGAGGGAGCUAGCGUUGUUCGGAAUUACUGGGCGUAAAGCGCACGUAGGCGGCUUUGUAAGUUAGAGGUGAAAGCCUGGAGCUCAACUCCAGAAUUGCCUUUAAGACUGCAUCGCUUGAAUCCAGGAGAGGUGAGUGGAAUUCCGAGUGUAGAGGUGAAAUUCGUAGAUAUUCGGAAGAACACCAGUGGCGAAGGCGGCUCACUGGACUGGUAUUGACGCUGAGGUGCGAAAGCGUGGGGAGCGAACAGG
rnacentral:rRNA from 1 species